AGCGAACGCUGGCGGCAGGCUUAACACAUGCAAGUCGAGCGGGCAUCCUUGUGGUGUCAGCGGCAGACGGGUGAGUAACGCGUGGGAACGUGCCCUUCGGUUCGGAAUAACUCAGGGAAACUUGAGCUAAUACCGGAUACGUGCGAGAGCAGAAAGGUUUAUCUGCCGAAGGAUCGGCCCGCGUCUGAUUAGCUAGUUGGUGAGGUUAUGGCUCACCAAGGCGACGAUCAGUAGCUGGUCUGAGAGGAUGAUCAGCCACACUGGGACUGAGACACGGCCCAGACUCCUACGGGAGGCAGCAGUGGGGAAUAUUGGACAACGGGGGCAACCCUGAUCCAGCCAUGCCGCGUGAGUGAUGACGGCCUUAGGGUUGUAAAGCUCUUUUCUCCGGGACGAUAAUGACGGUACCGGAGGAAUAAGCCCCGGCUAACUUCGU
rnacentral:rRNA from 1 species